GCCGCGGUGGCUUAGCCCGGUAGAGCGGUGGCCUCGAGAGCCACUGCCCCUUUUGGGGCGCGCA
rnacentral:tRNA from 1 species